AAAGGGAGACCUGUUGAAUGGAGAGAAACCCAAUAGCCUCCAUGAAAACACAAGCAGGUCAGAGUUGGGGGACUAAACUUUCAAACUAUUAGAUGGGGUUCACCUAUCAAAGAAACGGGCUAUUAGCUCAGGUGGUUAGAGCGCACCCCUGAUAAGGGUGAGGUCCCUGGUUCGAGUCCAGGAUGGCCCACCACCCCGAAAGAGACCCAGCAAUUGAGGAACUCAACCUGCUGGAUUCUCGAAUCCAGUCCAGAACCUUGAAAACUGCAUAGAAGAAAAAAGAGCCACUCAAAAUAGAGAAAGCUGGAAUCAAUCGAAAGAGAGAAGAAAGCGAAAAACUAUGAGUAGGGAGCUCACAGACAAUC
rnacentral:tRNA from 1 species